GCGGUGGAGUAUGUGGUUUAAUUCGAUGCAACGCGAAGAACCUUACCUGGUCUUGACAUCCCGGAGACCCUUAGGAAACUAGGGGGUGCUUCCAUCUGGAAGAAUCUGGAGACAGGUGCUGCAUGGCUGUCGUCAGCUCGUGUCGUGAGAUGUUGGGUUAAGUCCCGCAACGAGCGCAACCCUUGCCUUUAGUUGCCAGCAGUUCGGCUGGGCACUCUAAAGGGACUGCCGGUGUUAAACCGGAGGAAGGUGGGGAUGACGUCAAGUCCUCAUGGCCUUUAUGACCAGGGCUACACACGUACUACAAUGGCCGAUACAAAGGGCGGCGACACUGCGAGGUGAAGCCAAUCCCGUAAAAUCGGUCUCAGUCCGGAUUGGAGUCUGCAACUCGACUCCAUGAAGUUGGAAUCGCUAGUAAUCGUGGAUCAGCAUGCCACGGUGAAUACGUUCCCGGGCCUU
rnacentral:rRNA from 1 species